rnacentral:rRNA from 1 species
UACGUAGGGUGCGAGCGUUGCCCGGAUUUAUUGGGCGUAAAGGGCGCGUAGGCGGCCACGCACGUCCGUUGUGAAAUCGCCCGGCUCAACUGGGCGGGGUCGGCGGAUACGGCGUGGCUGGAGCAAGCUAGGGGGCAAUGGAAUUCCCGGUGUAGUGGUGGAAUGCGUAGAUAUCGGGAGGAACACCAGUGGCGAAGGCGGUUGCCUGGAGCUUUGCUGACGCUGAGGCGCGGAAAGCGUGGGGAGCGAGUCCGG